AGAUGGAGUGUCCAAAGGAGGGCUACAAAGAUGGAGAAGGUUCUGGAGAGCAAGGCUGGGAUAUUCUAUGAUUCUGUGACCAUUCCGGACAUAUUUGUACAGUCAGGAAGAAGCAUGGUGUCACAGUACUGAGAAAGGAGUUACAGAAAGCAGAGAUGCAUAAACCUCUGCAAAAGCUUAAUGUUCCGUAAAUGGCACUUUGAGAAAGUGCAACGGCAGCUGUUGCUGAAUUCACAGAGAAUGGGAAUUCUACCUGCUGCAUGCAGCUACUAGCAGCAAGGGAACUGGCCAGCCCUGCUGUGUGACGGCG
rnacentral:lncRNA from 1 species